rnacentral:rRNA from 1 species
GACGAACGCUGGCGGCGUGCUUAACACAUGCAAGUCGAACGGAAAGGGCUUGCUUCUGUGGGGGGCUCGAGUGGCAAACGGGAGAACCACACGUGAGUAAGCUGACAUCGACUUGGGGAUACCUUCAGUAAACUGGGGCUAAUGCCGGAUAGGAGCUCAUGCUGCAUGGUGGGGGCUGGCAAGUUUCGGGGGGGGGGGAUGGGCAGGCGGCUUAUCAGCUUGUGGGUGGGGUGGUGGCUUACCAAGGGUUUGACGGGAAGCCGGCCUGAGCGGGUGACCAGCCACAUUGGGAGGAAUGUGCGGCCCAGACGCCUACGGGAGGAAGCAGUGGUGAAUAUUGCACAAUGGGCGGAGACCUGAUGCAGCAACGCCGCGUGCGGGAUGACGGCGUUCGGGUUGUAGUCCGCUUCCGCCUGUGACGAAGCGUGAGUGACGGUAAUGGGUAAAGAAGCACCGGCUAACUACGUG